ensembl:lncRNA
UAUAUAUUAUAUAUAUAAUAUAUAUACAUAUAUNCUACACCAAAAAAUGUGUGGAGCUUUGUUUAAUUUAUUAUUAUUAUUAUUAUUACUACUACUACUUCUACUACUACUACUGCUACUACUAUUGCUAUUACUAUUCGUGUAGUAGUAGUAGUAGUAUAGUAGUAGUAGUAAUACUAAUUAAUAAUAAUAAAAAUAAUAAUGAAAUGUGUAUUUUAGUUAUUGCAAUCCUGUUUACAGCUCUAAUGUUAGACUCAGACUCUAUUUUUAUUUAAUUUUUUAUUUAUUUUUAAUUGAUUAUUUUUUUUAAUUCUGUUUAAUCUUUAUUAAAGGUUUGUAUAAAUGAAUGCAACACAUAUCAAAUCUGAACGCAUGCAAGAUAACUCCUUUAUUCAUAAAAACUACCUGGGCUCCAUGGAACUAUUGCUGGGUGGAAAAAAUGUGUCUUUCUGGCUGAUGUAAAUUUUAGUUUUGGCAGUAAAAUGCAUAAUACUCAAAUGGCAGUUCAGUAAUGCCAGGAGGAAGGGAAAGCAUAAAGAAAUCAGUGCUAAGCACACGAGGAAGUGUAAAGAGAGCGACACUCGUGGCUGUAAAGGUUGGAACAGGGUAUGUCCCAGCCCAGCCUAAAACUUUCUUGGAAGAGAUCCUUGCAAAUGAGCAUCCUCCAUCUGACAGGGUGUUUUUCAGCGCAGUGUCUACUGAGAAAGAGCACAGCUCUCAUCCGCUCCGCUACUUAGUUAUUGCCUGAGGGACUGGACCAGCAUAGAGGGCUUUUCUUGGCCCUGUGACGUCUGAUGAAAUGAGAAGGAUGAAGACCCAAACCGCUGUCCAUCUGAUGUGGCCACUGAUUUUAGUGCUACAGUUUGCUUGGCUUACAAAAGGCCUGAAUCACUUUAUAGUUCCUCAGAAUUUGACCUCGGAGACCGGAAAAACUGUCACCUUUGAAUGUGGUGUUGGUGGAUUGAAUGGGGAAAAAAUCCGGUUUUACAUUAUGGGUCCAAAGGUCAAUGAUUCCGUGUCUUGUCCAGGAGAAAAAACCAAGUACUUGCCUGCUCAGUCAAUGAAAGCCUACUGUUAUACAAAAUCUGGUGGAGAUGUAGCUGCUUGGGAAGUCGCAGGAACAUCAGAAGAUGACAAUGGCACUAUUUUUUUGUGCAAAGUCAAUACUGCAGAUGACAAAAUCGGAUACCUUUAUGUGUACGAGAAUGAUUCCUACUAUGCCAAGCUCAUUGGAUAUGUGAUUGGAGGAUUUUUAGCUGGUCUCAUUAUCAUCGUUGCGGCUUAUGUCCUGUUGAAAAGAUCAGAGAAAGUACAGCACUGCUUCAGUAAGUUUCUCAUUGUUCAUGUACUUAGCACACUAGAUUCUAUUCUGUUUUACACACUGGAAUAUAUUUAAUGUACAUGAAGAGAUACUGAGUUAUAGACAGAUAGUUUCUCAUGUUUGGUCUUGUUCUGCGUUUUUAGGGUCAGUGGGUGGAAUCCAAGAUGACGUGCAAUAGCCACAAUCUAAGCAAUACCGAAACCCCUCUCAUGCUCCUUACCAACAAAUGUGGAUUUGGAGGGCUAAUAAUAACAUAGCACAAACAUCGCAAUAUAAUAUAGGUUCUGCAGAUUUGAAAGAAAGGCCUGUGUUUCUCAGUUUUCAGUCUUGUCCAGUAGAGGGCGUGUUCACUUCUUUGUUCACAGCCAUGUUUUAGUUUCUCAUGUUCCUGGUUCAAAAUCCUUUUUUUUUUUUUUUGGUCACAGAGGAACAUUUUAAGUAACUAUAAUAUCUAAAUUUUAAUUUCUAACCCUAAUUUACACUAAAAUGUGAGGGAUUUUGAUACAGGAGUAUGUUCUAUUAGUUAAUCCACUUUAAGCAUCAAGCAACACCACCUUUCAAGAAUGUUUAUCUUACAAAUACACACAUUUGAUUAUCUAAUUGUGGAUCUGCUGUUUAAUGAAUAGUCAAGUACUCAGAAUGAAUGUGUCAUUGUCAUGCUGUUUACCAUAUUCAUUUAUUUUAGUUGUUUUUUAUUUUCAAUGUAAUGUAAAUUACUCACUACUUUAAUUUCAUUUCAUUUUAUACUGCUUUAAGAGGCUAAAUGACAAAAUUCACAGCACACAUAUAGGCUUUUGGGUUGCGUUGAGUAGAUCAAUAGGAGAUGGGUCAAUAUUGACACAGGUGGUUCUGUGCACCCUGGAACAGCCGUGUUUCUAUUCUACUACACUUUUCAUUGUAGAUAUCAGUCCAUAAGCAUUUAGUUUUAAAGUUUUAAAGGCUCAGAAGCUGCGUAUUUAAUCCUGUUUUGAACCUUUGACUAUUUGCAUAUGUGCUCUGGCAUUUGUAAACACUCAUGAAGUCACAUUACAACAUACAAGCACAACAAUCAUCUGCUUUAGCUCACAGACAGGUUUAAUUUUAAUGUUGUAUGAUAUUUUCAGAAUGUGCUUGUAUCAAUUCAAAAUGUAAACAUUAUUGUAAACAUCUAAAAUGUAGACGAGAGCCUUUCAAAUCAGAUUAGACAGUCAAAUCUAAAACAUUUAUAUUGUUAUUUUUGGUUACAUUUUGACUUUAUUUUAAUGCUUUCUGUUCUCUUGAAAGACUCCAAUGCUGUUUGUGUAAAAAUAAUUGAAUUUUCAAAUUCUUGUAAUACAAAUUCUUGUAAUAUGUUCCACUGACCUUAUCAAAACCCAGUAGACAGAUAUUAUUGAGGCUUCUACUCUCUGUUUUAUCAGCAUGUACUUUUCAUAAAGGUGAUUAUCUUGUAUACAGACUUUUGUUUGGGGUCAGUUUGACCAAUGUAUAAAUACAUUUUAGAAUAAUAUAAUAAAACGCAUAAGAAUCAGGACA